CCUACGGGUGGCUGCAGUGGGGAAUAUUGCACAAUGGGGGAAACCCUGAUGCAGCGACGCCGCGUGAGUGAAGAAGUAUUUCGGUAUUUAAAGCUCUAUCAGCAGGGAAGAAAAUGACGGUACCUGAUUAAGAAGCCACGGCUAACUACGUGCCAGCAGCCGCGGUAAUGCGUAGGGGGCCAGCGUUAUCCGGAUUUACUGGGUGUAAAGGGAGCGUAGGCGGCAGCACAAGUCAGGAGUGAAAUGCUGGGGCUUAACCCCGGAACUGCUUUGGAAACUGUGCAGCUAGAGUGCAGGAGAGGUAAGUGGAAUUCGUGGUGUAGCGGUGAAAUGCGUAGAUAUUAGGAAGAACUCCGAUUGCGAAGGCAGCUUACUGGACUGUAACUGACGUUGAGGCUCGAAAGCGUGGGGAGCAAACAGGAUUAGAUACCCGAGUAGUC
rnacentral:rRNA from 1 species